UGGCUCAGAUGGUAAAGCAUCUGUCUACAAUGCAGGAGACCCAGGUUCAAGCCCUGG
rnacentral:tRNA from 1 species